CCUACGGGUGGCUGCAGUGAGGAAUAUUGGUCAAUGGACGAGAGUCUGAACCAGCCAAGUAGCGUGAAGGAUGACUGCCCUAUGGGUUGUAAACUUCUUUUAUAUGGGAAUAAAAUGUUCCACGUGUGGGAUUUUGUAUGUACCAUAUGAAUAAGGAUCGGCUAACUCCGUGCCAGCAGCCGCGGUAAUACGGAGGAUCCGAGCGUUAUCCGGAUUUAUUGGGUUUAAAGGGAGCGUAGGUGGAUUGUUAAGUCAGUUGUGAAAGUUUGCGGCUCAACCGUAAAAUUGCAGUUGAAACUGGCAGUCUUGAGUACAGUAGAGGUGGGCGGAAUUCGUGGUGUAGCGGUGAAAUGCUUAGAUAUAACUUAGAACUCCGAUAGCGAAGGCAGCUUACCAGACUGCGACUGACGCUGAAGCACGAGAGCGUGGGUAGCGAACAGGAUUAGAUACCCUAGUAAUC
rnacentral:rRNA from 1 species